CAAAACCAGGUUACGUUGAGCACAACAAAGGAGGUUCGAGUGCUCAACCAGGGUACGGCCAGACAACGGCAGUGAUUAUGACACAGCCAGGAUAUGCUGGCCAAGUGGUAGCAAUGCCAAGACCUCCAGGUUACAUAUGCGGCUCAAUCUUUGCCUGUCUCUGUUGUUUUUGGCCGACAGGAUUGCUUGCUAUAUUCUAUGAAUACCGGGCCAAGAAAUUGACAGCUGAAGGAGAUAUGGUU